GGUGGCUCAGUAGUAGAGUGCUUGCCUUGUAUGCCUGAGGCUCUGGGUUCGAUUCUCAGCACCA
rnacentral:tRNA from 1 species